GCUUCUUUAGCUCAGUGGUAGAGCGUGGGAUUGCAGUGAUUUCCUGCUAGUUAUCCUAAGGUCACUCGUUCGAAUCGGGUAGGAAGCU